UGCAAGUCGAGGGGUAGUUGUCUUCGGAUAAUGAGACCGGCGCACGGGUGCGUAACUCGUAUACAAUCUACCUUUUACAGAGGGAUAGCCCAGAGAAAUUUGGAUUAAUACCUCAUAGUAUUUUUGAAUGGCAUCAUUUGAUUAUUAAAGUUCCAACGGUAAAAGAUGAGUAUGCGUCCCAUUAGCUAGAUGGUAAGGUAACGGCUUACCAUGGCAACGAUGGGUAGGGGUCCUGAGAGGGAGAUCCCCCACACUGGUACUGAGACACGGACCAGACUCCUACGGGAGGCAGCAGUGAGGAAUAUUGGACAAUGGGCGCAAGCCUGAUCCAGCCAUGCCGCGUGCAGGAAGAAGGUCCUAUGGAUUGUAAACUGCUUUUAUACAGGAAGAAACACACCCUCGUGAGGGUACUUGACGGUACUGUAUGAAUAAGGACCGGCUAACUCCGUGCCAGCAGCCGCGGUAAUACGGAGGGUCCAAGCGUUAUCCGGAAUCAUUGGGUUUAAAGGGUCCGUAGGCGGUUUAAUAAGUCAGUGGUGAAAGCCCAUCGCUCAACGAUGGAACGGCCAUUGAUACUGUUAAACUUGAAUUAUUAGGAAGUAACUAGAAUAUGUAGUGUAGCGGUGAAAUGCUUAGAGAUUACAUGGAAUACCAAUUGCGAAGGCAGGUUACUACUAAUAUAUUGACGCUGAUGGACGAAAGCGUGGGGAGCGAACAGGAUUAGAUACCCUGGUAGUCCACGCCGUAAACGAUGGAUACUAGCUGUUCGGAGCAAUCUGGGUGGCUAAGCGAAAGUGAUAAGUAUCCCACCUGGGGAGUACGUUCGCAAGAAUGAAACUCAAAGGAAUUGACGGGGGCCCGCACAAGCGGUGGAGCAUGUGGU
rnacentral:rRNA from 1 species